rnacentral:rRNA from 1 species
AAUAUUGGACAAUGGGCGAAAGCCUGAUCCAGCCAUGCCGCGUGUGUGAAGAAGGUCUUCGGAUUGUAAUGCACUUUAAGUUGGGAGGAAGGGUUGUAGGUUAAUACCCUGCAAUUUUGACGUUACCAACAGAAUAAGCACCGGCUAACUUCGUACCAGCAGCCGCGGUAAUGAGAAGGGUGCAAGCGUUAAGCGGAAUUACUGGGCGUAAAGCGCGCGUAGGUGGUUCGUUAAGUUGGAAGUGAAAGCCACGGGCUUAACCUGGGAAUUGCUUUCAAAACUGACGAGCUAGAGUACGGUAGAUGGUAUUGGAAGUUCCUGUGUAGCGGUGAAAUGCGUAGAUAUAGGAAGGAACAUCAGUGGCGAAGGCGACUACCUGGACUGAUACUGACACUGAGGUGCGAAAGCGUGGGGAGCAAACAGG